rnacentral:lncRNA from 1 species
UGAUGCUGAAAUGUUCCUCACAUGGGUCGAAAUAACAAUUUGCAUAGGAAUGGCCAGCGUCCUGCAAGAGAGCUCAGCAAGUUGAACAGCUGGCAGAUGCCUCCAGAUGGCUUCAGAAGAUGCAAGAAACAUGACCUGUGAUGCAGUGCAGAAAAAGGGCUGAAGGAUCCCUAUGUUAGCCAGGACCUGCUGCAUGAUUUUCAUCGGGUGGUUGCUGCUCUACCACUGCCAGUGACACAACCUUGUAUGAAGCUGUCAUAGAAACCAGUGACUCUCCUCUGAACUAAAAGCAAGAACUACUGGUCAGCCAUCCCUAUGGGAAUUCCCUUGUGGGUCAGAAUGGUAUUUGCUUUUGUGCUUGACUGAAUUAGUCAAAACUAAUGAGCAAAUACAGCCUUUGUAUUCUGGUCACAGCGUAAGUAGUUUCUAGAAAGAGACGUAGCCUGCAAGAUUAUGAUACUGGUCACGUGGCUUUCUGAGUGGGUAGCUGAAACAUUUUAAGUCACCAAAAAUAAUAGUAGGGAACAUACGAUAGCUUUUUGUUAUGAUUUUUAUUUCAUAGGACAGUCUUUAGCUAGUUAUUCAUGCUGAAAUUCAUUACUUGCAGGACUCACAAAUAUAUUUUAUGACUAUCUAACAGCUUGUCUGCAUAUUGGAACACAA